UGAAACCGUUUAGGGGUAAACCUGAGAAACCCGAAAGAUCGAAGGGAGAAAUUCAUUCGUGUUUUGUUUGUAAGCAUCAAAUAGAUGUAUGACGAAAAUAAUUUUUCGAAAUAAUUUUUGCAUUAUUUAUUUGUUUUGAACUUAUAACAAACGCGUGCACUUUUCUCCUGGUAGAACAUCGCGAUCCGUCGAGUAUCGGUCUAUGGCUUAAUAGUGGAGACCAUUUGUGUUUUAUUAUUUUCGAAUAGUAUUUAUACAAAUGGACCUGUUUUGUUUUCCUGGCCGAUUUGCUUAACGGUAUCGAAAUAAUUUGGUUAAUGGAUCGCAAUUAAAUACUUUUUUUAAUAAAAGUGUGCGUUCAACUUAUUACAAGCGCGCCAAUUGUUUAAUUGAAAAUCGUACCUAGUAUCGAUUUCAAUCUUUGGUGACUGUUAGUGAUAAUGUUCUUGAACCGAUCUUUAUAAUAACCAAUCUGCGAUGCUAUAGCUUUGGGUAAUUUCAGGACCCGUCUUGAAACACGGACCAAGGAGUCUAGCAUAUACGCAAGUCAUUGGGAUUUAAUAUUAAACCUAAAGGCGUAAUGAAAGUAAAAAAAUAAUUUUCAUUUAUGAAAAUUGUUUUAAGGAAAGACAAGUAUAUACAAUAAAUAUGCUUUGCAUUUCCGGGGCGUUUUAUUCUCAUUAUGAGAAAAGGCGCACCAUGAGCGUAUACGCUGGGACCCGAAAGAUGGUGAACUAUGCCUGGUCAGGAUGAA
rnacentral:rRNA from 1 species